rnacentral:tRNA from 1 species
UGUAAAUCCGCUGGCAAUGCCUACGCUGGUUCAAAUCCAGCUCGGCCCA